rnacentral:rRNA from 1 species
ACGGAAGGCAGCAGUGGGGGAUAUUGGACAAUGGGGGAAACCCUGAUCCAGCGACGCCGCGUGAGUGAAGAAGUAUUUCGGUAUGUAAAGCUCUAUCAGCAGGGAAGAAAAAAUCAAAAUUGACUGUACCUGACUAAGAAGCUCCGGCUAACUACGUGCCAGCAGCCGCGGUAAUACGUAGGGAGCAAGCGUUAUCCGGAAUUACUGGGUGUAAAGGGAGUGUAGGCGGGACUGUAAGUCAGAUGUGAAAUAUGCCGGCUCAACUGGCAGACUGCAUUUGAAACUGCGGUUCUUGAGUGAAGUAGAGGUAAGCGGAAUUCCUAGUGUAGCGGUGAAAUGCGUAGAUAUUAGGAGGAACAUCAGUGGCGAAGGCGGCUUACUGGGCUUUAACUGACGCUGAGGCUCGAAAGCGUGGGGAGCAAACAGGAUUAGAUACCCUGGUA